rnacentral:SRP_RNA from 1 species
CCGAGCGAUGGUGUUGCGCACCGUCCCUGUAACCGCUCAUUCACAGUGGAAGCGGAUGCGCGUUCGCAAAGCGGUUGCGAACGCGGUUGUAUAAAGAUCCAGUACAAUUGCACGCGCAUUUGAUGACAUAAAAUGCGCGUGCAAUUGUACUGAAUCUUUAUACAACCGCAUUCGCAACCGUUUAGCGAACGCGGAUCUGCUUC